UUUAAAAAGGCGUUGUAUUAAGUAACUUCUGGGAUGUCAGUUUGGGUAAGUGGCAUGGAAAUGUCUACCGCGGAGGGUGAAAGUCCCGUCCAGCCCAUUCAGGACAUUUCGCACGAAGUUGCUCAUAUGAGUCGUGUAGCUUGGGAAUGCUGCGCUAAGUCGGUGGUAAAUCUCAUCGAAGGCUAAAUACUGGUAGGAGACCGAUAGUGAACAAGUACCGUGAGGGAAAGAUCAAAAGCACUUUGAAAAGAGGGUGAAAAGAACCUGAAACCGUUACGAAAGAAGCGUAUUGCGUUGAAUUGAUGGCUGUUUAACUCUUCAGCUGGGCGUGAGUCUAGUGUACUGAGCUAAGUAGUUAUCCGUCGUGCCUUUUCUGUGGCUGAUUUUGAGCCGCGGGAGAGGGAGGGAUCCCCUUUAUGGGUGAGGACGAUGGAGUGGCAACGCGAUGCGACCCGUCUUGAAACACGGACCAAGGAGUCUAAUACGUUUGCGAGUUGAAGGGUGGUAAACCUGGAGGCGCAGUGAAAGCGAACUUCUAAAACGGACAGUUUGUGGCGGCAUAAAAUCGUUGAUUUUAGGUCUGACUAAGAGCAAAUGUGUUAGGACCCGAAAGAUGGUGAACUAUGCUUGAGUAGGCCGAAGGCAGAAGAAAUUCUGCUGGAGGGCCGAAGCGGUGCUGACGUGCAAAUCGCUCGUCGAACUCGAGUAUAGGGGCGAAAGACUAAUCGAACCAUCUAGUAGCUGGUUCCCUCCGAAGUUUCUCUCAGGAUAGCGGGCCGACAAUUAUUGUUUUGUGCGGUAAAGCGAAUGAUUAGCGCACUCGGGGGCAUUCAGCCUUCGGUCGAUUCUCAAACUUUUAAUGCGCAAGGGUGCUGCAGCUUAGGUGUGCGGCACCUUUAAAAAUGUCGGCCUUGUGGGCCACUUUUGGUAAGCAGAACUGGCGAUGUGGGAUGAACCAUACGCGUGGUUAAGGCGCCAAAUUACUCGCUUAUAGACCCCACA
rnacentral:rRNA from 1 species